CAUGUAGGCGGAUAUGUUAGUCAGAUGUCAAAUCUUCGAGCUUAACUCGAAAACUGCAUUUGAAACGGCAUAUCUUGAGAAAGUGAGAGACCAGUGGAACAUAUGGUGUAGCAGUGAAAUGCGUUGAUAUCAUAUGGAACACCCAAGGCGAAGGCAUCUGGUUGGCACUUUUCUGACGCUGAGAUGCGAAAGCGUGGGUAGCGAAAA
rnacentral:rRNA from 1 species